rnacentral:rRNA from 1 species
GCCUAAUACAUGCAAGUCGAGCGGACAGAUGGGAGCUUGCUCCCUGAUGUUAGCGGCGGACGGGUGAGUAACACGUGGGUAACCUGCCUGUAAGACUGGGAUAACUCCGGGAAACCGGGGCUAAUACCGGAUGCUUGUUUGAACCGCAUGGUUCAAACAUAAAAGGUGGCUUCGGCUACCACUUACAGAUGGACCCGCGGCGCAUUAGCUAGUUGGUGAGGUAAUGGCUCACCAAGGCAACGAUGCGUAGCCGACCUGAGAGGGUGAUCGGCCACACUGGGACUGAGACACGGCCCAAACUCCUACGGGAGGCAGCAGUAGGGAAUCUUCCGCAAUGGACGAAAGUCUGACGGAGCAACGCCGCGUGAGUGAUGAAGGUUUUCGGAUCGUAAAGCUCUGUUGUUAGGGAAGAACAAGUACCGUUCGAAUAGGGCGGUACCUUGACGGUACCUAACCAGAAAGCCACGGCUAACUACGUGCCAGCAGCCGCGGUAAUACGUAGGUGGCAAGCGUUGUCCGGAAUUAUUGGGCGUAAAGGGCUCGCAGGCGGUUUCUUAAGUCUGAUGUGAAAGCCCCCGGCUCAACCGGGGAGGGUCAUUGGAAACUGGGGAACUUGAGUGCAGAAGAGGAGAGUGGAAUUCCACGUGUAGCGGUGAAAUGCGUAGAGAUGUGGAGGAACACCAGUGGCGAAGGCGACUCUCUGGUCUGUAACUGACGCUGAGGAGCGAAGCGUGGGGAGCGAACAGGAUUAGAUACCCUGGUAGUCCACGCCGUAAACGAUGAGUGCUAAGUGUUAGGGGGUUUCCGCCCCUUAGUGCUGCAGCUAACGCAUUAA